rnacentral:rRNA from 1 species
GACGAACGCUGGCGGCGCGCUUAACACAUGCAAGUCGAACGGAGCUACAAUGGAGAGAGCCUUCGGGCAAUGGAAGCUGUAGCUUAGUGGCGGACGGGUGAGUAACACGUGAGCAACCUGCCUUUCAGAGGGGGAUAACGUUUUGAAAAGAACGCUAAUACCGCAUAACGUAUUUUUUCGCAUGGAAGAGAUACCAAAGGAGCAAUCCGCUGAAAGAUGGGCUCGCGUCCGAUUAGCUAGUUGGUAGGGUAAAGGCCUACCAAGGCGACGAUCGGUAGCCGGACUGAGAGGUUGAACGGCCACAUUGGGACUGAGACACGGCCCAGACUCCUACGGGAGGCAGCAGUGGGGAAUAUUGCACAAUGGGAGGAAACUCUGAUGCAGCGACGCCGCGUGAGGGAAGAA